rnacentral:rRNA from 1 species
AGCAGCCGCGGUAAUUCCAGCUCCAAUAGCGUAUAUUAAAGUUGUUGCAGUUAAAAAGCUCGUAGUUGAAUUUCGGGAUCAAAUUGUCGGUCGUGCCUCGGUACGCACUGGUAUUAUUGGUUCCUACCUUCUGAAGAACCGCGAUGUCAUUAAUUUGGUGUCGUGGGGAAUCAGGACUGUUACUUUGAAAAAAUUAGAGUGUUUAAAGCAGGCUUACGCUUGAAUACAUUAGCAUGGAAUAAUGAAAUAGGACGUUUGAUUCUAUUUUGUUGGUUUCUAGGAUUGACGUAAUGAUUAAUAGGGAUAGUUGGGGGCAUUAGUAUUCAAUUGUCAGAGGUGAAAUUCUUGGAUUUAUUGAAGACUAACUACUGCGAAAGCAUUUGCCAAGGAUGUUUUCAUUAAUCAAGAACGAAAGUUAGGGGAUCGAAGACGAUCAGAUACCGUCGUAGUCUUAACCAUAAACUAUGCCGACUAGGGAUCGGAUGAUGUUAAUUUUUUAAUGUACUCAUUUCGGCGCCUU